AGGCGCUGUUGUCACCAUGCUCGGCCGGAUGUGAAGGGUUGGGGACGCCGGCAGGCUGCAGAAAGUCACGUUAGAGACAGAGACAGCAGGAGGACGAAGACAGAAAACAAAGAUGUGGACACGCUCCGUGAGGGACAUUCAUUGACGAGGAGCGGGACACGCCGGUAAACAGCCGCGUCAUUGACGAGGAGCUUCGCCGCAGCCUAAUGCCAGCUGAAGCGUGAUGCAUCCAGAGCGGCCCAGAACGAGCCUCGCCCUGCAGAGACGUCAGGCAGAUUCAGCCCCUCGGGGCAUGCCGAGCACCGGUCUACUGCAGGGCCUCAUCCAGAGCGCCAGGCCUCCCUCCUUCUGCUUCCUGCUCCCCAGGGUCCACGCAGCUGAUGUGGCUGCUGCCCAGCCCGCACAGAUGCCCUCGUCUUCAUCCUCCUCCACCAGCAGUCCCGCUCCUGCAUCCAUCCACUCUCCCAGCACCGUGCCAAGCAGCAUCGGCAGGCCAGAAUUCCCAGACACAGGAUGGGACCGCAUCAAAGACCUCUUUGACAAAGAUCCGACACAGAGUUACCCAGAGGAGCUGACCAACGUGAUAAAGAGCGGCCUAGUCGCUGCACUAGCAGGCUUGUUCUACGGAGGCCUGCCAGCAGCUCGCCACGCCAGGCAGCGCUACAUCCAAGCCAGCCAGGCAGAAAUCUAUACCGGCAGAGUGGACGCAGUGCGCUCGGCCCAUAACGCAGCUAUCCGCGGUUUUGUGAGAUACGGAUGGAGAUGGAGCUGGAGAGUUGGUGCUUUUGUCACCCUGUUUAACUCUGUCAGCACCGGGCUGUCUGUGUACCGAGACAAGUAUGCCAUCAGCCACUAUGCUGCAGCUGGAGCUGUGACUGGAGGCCUCUUCAGACUGAACCUGGGCCUGGGCGGGCUGGUGGCUGGGACAGUCAUCGGAGCAGUGCUGGGGAUUCCCACCGGUGCUUUGAUCAUCAGCAUCCAGUCGCUGGCAGGAGAAGAAGCCAGAGAGAAGAGGAGGAGAGAACGCAGAGAACUCCACAAGCUCAAACUUGCUGAAUGGAUGGCCCGUUUGCAGUUGACAGACGAGCUGAUUGGAGAUCUGAAUGUCUCUCAGCUGGAGGACAGCAGUAAGGACAUGCAGAGGAUCCAGGAACUGCUCAGUUUACCACAGAAUAAAGAUGUGACUCAGGACUCAAGCAGCCAAUGACAGUAGCUGCCUCACUGCCUGUUCUCUGUUUAAGGUCAAACAUAGCCUCGGUCCCUGGUGUAAACAAGAUGUGACACAGCAACAGCUGCGGCCCAGGAUGCAGCAGUGACUGCUGACAUGCAGAUGGACAGCCAAUGGAAACGGACUGAGGAAGCCCCGCACUCCAGAGCACGGCACUCAUGAUGACUUCAGCUGGAAGUGGAUGCUAGUGCUUCUGGAGCUGGCGAGGAGGGUGUGUGCCAUCCCGUGGGCUACUUCUCUUUAAAGUUAAAAAAACACCAGUUGAACUACUCCACCAUCAAGAAGGAGACGCUGGCCAUGCUCCUCGCCCUGCAACAUUUUGAAGUGUAUGUUGGCUCCAGUGCAGCCCCAGUAGUAGUGUAUACUUAUCACAAUCCUCUGGUUUUCCUGGCUCAGAUGUAUAAUCAUAACCAGCGGUUGAUGCGUUGGGCGCUGCUUGCCCAGGCAUACAACCUGGAGAUCCGGCACAAGAAGGGGGCAGACAAUGUG